rnacentral:rRNA from 1 species
UCGGGAGGGAAAGCGAUGCCGUGGGUAUCGCGCUCUUGGAUGGGCUCAUGUCCUAUCAGCUUGUUGGUGAGGUAAUGGCUCACCAAGGCUUCGACGGGUAGCUGGUCUGAGAGGACGAUCAGCCACACUGGCACUGCGACACGGGCCAGACUCCUACGGGAGGCAGCAGUAAGGAAUAUUGCGCAAAGGACGAAAGUCUGACGCAGCGACGCCGCGUGGGGGAUGAAGGUCUUCGGAUUGUAAACCCCUUUCGGGAGGGAAGAUGGAAUGGGGUAACCCAUUUGGACGGUACCUCCAGAAGCAGCCACGGCUAACUUCGUGCCAGCAGCCGCGGUAAUACGAAGGUGGCAAGCGUUGUUCGGAUUCACUGGGCGUACAGGGAGCGUAGGCGGUUGGGUAAGCCCUCCGUGAAAUCUCCGGGCCUAACCCGGAAAGUGCAGAGGGGACUGCUCAGCUAGAGGAUGGGAGAGGAGCGCGGAAUUCCCGGUGUAGCGGUGAAAUGCGUAGAGAUCGGGAGGAAGGCCGGUGGCGAAGGCGGCGCUCUGGAACAUUUCUGACGCUGAGGCUCGGAAGCGUGGGGAGCAAACAGGAUUAGAUACCCUGGUAGUCCAUCUU